UUGAACAUGAUGGACUAUAGGACAGGACUGCUGCUGUUAACUAUCUGCUGGGCAGGUGUUGAUGGUCAGACUCUGACAGAAUCUGAACCAGUGGUUAAAAGGCCUGGAGAAUCUCACAGACUGACCUGUACAGCCUCUGGAUUCACACUCAGCAGCUACCAGAUGCACUGGAUCAGACAGGCUCCUGGAAAAGGACUGGAGUGGGUUGCUUACAUCAGUGAAACUAGCAACUACAUCUACUACUCUGAGUCAGUGAAAGGCCGGUUUACCAUCUCCAGAGACAACAGCAGACAGCAGGUGUAUCUGCAGAUGAACAGUCUGAAGACUGAGGAUUCUGCUGUUUAUUAUUGUGCUCGAGAGCCGAGACUCACAGUGACUGAAGUUAGAUGAGCAGCUGUACAAAAACCUGCAGUCCUCAUCUUUCAGGUUGGCGGAGCCCAAGUAUGAAGUAUUUUUUUUAAUAUUCAUAACAUAUGUGUAUAUAUCAUGUAUAUUUUGUUCUAUAUAUUUUUUCUUUUAAAAUCUUUUAAAGUGAC